GAUGAAGAACGUAGCGAAAUGCGAUAAGUAAUGUGAAUUGCAGAAUUCAGUGAAUCAUCGAAUCUUUGAACGCACCUUGCGCCCUUUGGCUAUUCCGAAGGGCAUGCCUGUUUGAGUAUCAUGAACACCUCAACUCUCAUGGCUUGCCAUGAUGAGCUUGGACUUUUGGGGGUCUUGCUGGCCUGUGGUCAGCUCCUCUCAAAUGAAUUAGCCUGCCAGUGUUUGGUGGCAUCACAGGUGUGAUAACUAUCUACGCUUGUGGUUUUCCACCAGGUAACCUUCAGUGAUGAAGGUUCGCUGGGGCUCAUAAACGUCUCUCCUCAGUGAGGACAGCUCUUUGAACGUUUGAUCUCAAAUCAGGUAGGACUACCCGCUGAACUUAAGCAUAUCAAUAGCGGAGGA
rnacentral:misc_RNA from 1 species